UACAGAGGGGCAAGCGUUGUUCGGAAUUACUGGGCGUAAAGGGCGCGUAGGCGGCCUGCUAAGUCGAACGUGAAUCCCGGCUCAACCCGGGAACUGCGUCCGAUACUGGUUGCUUGAAUCCGGAGAGGGAUGUGGAAUUCCAGGUGUAGCGGUGAAAUGCGUAGAUAUCUGGAGGAACACCGGUGGCGAAGGCGGCAUCCUGGA
rnacentral:rRNA from 1 species